rnacentral:rRNA from 1 species
AACGAACGCUGGCGGCAUGCCUAACACAUGCAAGUCGAACGAGACCUUCGGGUCUAGUGGCGCACGGGUGCGUAACGCGUGGGAAUCUGCCCUUGGGUUCGGGAUAACAGUUGGAAACGACUGCUAAUACCGGAUGAUGACUUCGGUCCAAAGAUUUAUCGCCCAGGGAUGAGCCCGCGUCGGAUUAGCUAGUUGGUGAGGUAAGAGCUCACCAAGGCGACGAUCCGUAGCUGGUCUGAGAGGAUGAUCAGCCACACUGGGACUGAGACACGGCCCAGACUCCUACGGGAGGCAGCAGUGGGGAAUAUUGGACAAGGGGCGAAAGCCUGAUCCAGCAAGGCCGCGUGAGUGAUGAAGGCCUUAGGGUUGGAAAGCUCUUUUACCCGGGAUGAUAAUGACAGUACCGGGAGAAUAAGCCCCGGCUAACUCCGUG